CCGCUAUUCAGCCCACGCGCAGUCUCCCC
rnacentral:sRNA from 1 species